CUGAGGCCUGAAUUGAGAGCGUGUCAGAAGCUCCCAGUGCAGUUUCUUUGGUUUUUAUGACAAGGGUGAGAAGUGCAGAUUAAGGCUUACAAAAGGAAAAUCCUUGCAUGUUAGGUUAAAUGGCAGAGGAAGGAAAAUGAAUAAAUAAUAAUAACAAAAGAAUGACCUACUUUGUAACCUAUUUAACCUAUUUUCUUCUACAUGCCCCCUAAUUUCCAACUUUAUUAUCUUGGACAUUUUUAAACAGCUGUGAAAUCACUUGUUACUUGCCAAUUACAGUUUAACUUUGGAUAAUCAAUGACCACAGCCAGGCUGGAAGAAGAAAAACAAGUUGGCAGCUGUGACUAUGUGUUAAAAGGGAUGUUUAUGACUGGAUGAUUAAGAACAGCCGUUGGAAGGGAUCGAGACUGGCAGCAAAGCUGUCUGCUCUACAUCUGGGAUCCUUCUGGAGUCGUGGUGCUGUACAGCACAGCUUGAUUAGAUCCUACAGCUGCUCUCCCAGCGCUUUUGCACUCCUAGCAGUCCUCCAGUUCUCCCUUGCUGCUCUAACCCAAGGCAGGAUAGGCUGUAGCAUCUCCCCAUUUGCAGAGGCAGAAAGGCACAAGAACGCACCCUGGGAGAGGAGAAAACACUCCUGGGGACAGGCUGAGUAACAGAGGUGGGAGGAUAGAGUGGCCAACAUUUGCAAGAGCAGGAAUCUCAUUCCAUGGACUUCUUGUCCAAGCCUUUCAAAGCAUGUUUAAUGAGUGCCUUGCUUGAAACGCACCGUAAUACACAUUGCUUGUUUAGAAGAAGAAAACCACUUAUGACGGUACUCGAUGGCCUCUGCCAUUACAAGACCGUCAGAAUAGAGACCCAACUGAAUCAUUUGCACAACCUUUUUCUUAUCUUUCCGUGAGACAAAGUUCAUACAGAGAGAUAAGGAGACACUGCAAAUCAGAAGCUAAGCCUGGAAGAGCCUCCUGCAUUCAGAGAACCUUUGCUGCUACUUCAUUUUCCUAAGGAAACCCAGCAUAAUCAUUUGAGCGUUUGGAUUAGCACAUCUACUGGGAGGACAAAGGGAUAAUGCCAACUCUAUCCCUUUCUCUGUAGCCCUUGUAAACAAGCGCAAUACCCACUCAGGCCCAAGAUUUGUAGCUGGUUCUAAAAGGGCAAAGGUUCCCCAUGACUCCAGGCAACAGGAACACACGCAAAAAAAACUCUGUCCCUUUGCUCCAGGCAACUGCUAGACAGAGGGUUGGGGUUCUGUUCUGUGCUGUUUGGGCUUUUUUCCCUCUGGAGGUGUAGUGCCUUUGCUCUUAAAGCAUUCUCAUCUACCUGGGAAAAUCACACAGGGUUACUUCUUGCUCAGCUCGUCAUAUUCAGCCCAUUGCCUUGGAUAGCUGCUGCUUCCAGAGCUACCACUGUCCAAAGACACGUGUCCCAGGGCACCCCACGCUUAGCCCAAGCUAAUAAAUCAAGUGUAUGACUGUCAACUGAUUAAAACCUGCUGAUGUUGCUAUUAAUAGUUUUCAGCAUUAUGAAAUGUUGGCUUUCUUAUUACUGCAUCAAACUUCAUCAUUUUCUCACCAGAAGCUUGAGAGCAAGAUUGCAUAAAGCAAGCAACAGGAACUCAAACAAAUGGUACCUGGGCUGGUUCAAUGGAGACCAAAGAAAAGUAAAUGUACUGAAUCCUAUUGGUUGGCAUGAAAAGUAAUAGUUUCUUAUUGCUGAGAUGAUCCUUCCUCAUCCAAAGAUGACUCAAAAAAAUUGUUUUUUGUUUGAAGGGUUGCAAGUUUUGUGUUGUCUUUCUGCAGUUUGGGUAACUACUCCAUGACCCUGAGCUCUGGGGUGCUCCCGAGGCAGACCCACAGCAGAACGGGUGCACACAGCCUGUGCCAUUUGUUCUGGGCAUCAGAGCUGAGAAAGGAACAAAUGCGGGCUGCCUCAGCGGGUCUGUGCCCUGCUGAGUUGUUCCUGGUGAUGUGAACACGUUUAUGGCUGGGGCAGUUAAGCUGCUGGCUCUGGAGCUGUUUCGAGCUGCUGGAGGCAUGCCAAGGGUCUGGCUCAACUGAUAGAUCUUGUUUUCAAGUUGCACAAGCACGAGUAACCUGCAAGGCUCCAUUAUUUGUUUCAGUACAAUUGUUGAGAUAGGGUUACCUAUAUAGCAGCUACACAGGAACCCAUCUUGGCAUUUGUCACCUCACCUUAAAUGUCCUCCCUAGAAGCUGCAUCCUCACCUGUAGGCCUUUGGGUCUGACCUUACAGCUGGUAUUCUGACCUCCACAGUCUGCAGAGGUCGGGGUGAUAUUCACCUUCUUCUUUUGAGAAGCUGUAGAUCAUAUUCACCCCUGAUGUAAAACCUCCAACCUUAGCCCUUAUUAUUAUUUUUAGGACAAAAUCAGUCAGGUUUCAUCAUGAACCAAAGAGUAAUUUUAAUAGGCUUGAGCUUACAAGUGUGACGUUCCCUACUUGUGCUUAUGCUUUUUCUUAUUGUUUGCUGUACCUCUGUGCUCUUUAGAAGUUCAGAAUGAGUUUCUCUUCUCAAAGGGUUUUUGCACAGGCUCUGGGAGAUGCUUGUGUAAGGGUAAAACAUGCAUGUGUUCAACUACGUGGCUGGUGGCUGUUUGCAGAGCUCACAGCAGGACCAAGAGUGGGAUCUGGGACGAUUACAUUAAAGAGGAGGUGGAAAAUUUCCCUCCCGCAUUCCCUACCGCUGCAAAAACAGACCAAUUUGCAGGAGCUCGUAUGCUACUCCAAAGGACCAAAAACUGGAGGGUAAGAUGGGACAGGCUGACUUAUGCAGCAUAAGGCAGUCAGGCAGCACAGGAGUGCGGACGCUCAGCUGUACGCAAUGACCGCGGUGUAAGGGGGGCCCCGCGUC
ensembl:lncRNA